GGCCUGAUGGUCUAGAGGUAUGAUUCACCCUUAGGGUUUCUCACGAUCUCGUGAGUUAACUUCUGGGUGAGGUCCCGGGUUCGAUUCCCGGUUAGGCCC